UUCCGGUUGAUCCUGCCGGCGGCCACCGCUAUUGGAAUUCGAUUAAGACAUGCGAGUCGAGAGUCUUAGGGACUCGGCGGACGGCUCAGUAACACGCGGAUAAUCUGCCCUUAGGUGGAGGAUAACCUCGGGAAACUGAGAAUAAUACUCCAUAUGUCUAGAAUGCUGGAAUGCUUUUAGGCUUAAAGCUCCGGCGCCUAAGGAUGAAUCUGCGGCCUAUCAGGUUGUAGUGGGUGUAACGGACCCACUAGCCUACGACGGGUACGGGCUUUGGGAGAAGUUGCCCGGAGAUGGACUCUGAGACACGAGUCCAGGCCCUACGGGGUGCAGCAGUUGCGAAAACUUCACAAUGUCGGAAACGGCGAUGAGGGAAUUCCAAGUGCCAACACUUUGUGUUGGCUGUUUGUUUGCCUAAAAAGCAGAUAAAGUAAGAGCCGGGUAAGACGGGUGCCAGCCGCCGCGGUAAUACCCGCGGCUCGAGUGGUGGUCAUUUUUAUUGAGCUUAAAGCGUUCGUAGCCUGUCCAGUAAAUCCUUGGGUAAAUCGGGCAGCUUAACUGUUCGAAUUCCGAGGAGACUGCUGGACUUGGGACCGGAAGAGGUCAAAAGUACUCUUGGGGUAGGGGUAAAAUCCUGUAAUCCCACGAGGACUACCAGUGGCGAAGGCGUUUGACUAGGACGGAUUCGACGGUAAGGAACGAAACCCCGGGUCGCAAACGGGAUUAGAUACCCCGGUAGUCCGGGGCGUAAACGCUGCAGGCUUGGUGUUGGGGGCUCUACGAGAGCGCCCAGUGCCGAAGAGAAAUUGUUAAGCCUGCCGCUUGGGGAGUACGGUCGCAAGACUGAAACUUAAAGGAAUUGGCGGGAGAGCACAGCAACGGGAGGAGCGUGCGGUUCAAUUGGAUUCAACGCCGGAAAACUCACCGGGGGCGACGGUUACAUGAAGGCCAAGCUGAUGACUUUGCCUGAUUUUCCGAGAGGUGGUGCAUGGCCGUCGUCAGUUCGUACCGUAGGGCGUUCUGUUAAGUCAGAUAACGAACGAGACCCUCACCCUUAGUUGCUACCGAUUCCCUUCGGGGAUGAGGAGCCACAACCAGAGCUUGCUCAGGGGGAACUCUAAGGAGACCGCUGGCGCUAAGUCAGAGGAAGGAGAGAUCAACGGUAGGUCAGUACGCCCCGAAUCCCCCGGGCUACACGCGCGCUACAAAGGACAGGACAACGGGCUCCAACGUCGAAAGGCGAAGGCAAUCCCGAAACCUGUCCGUAGUUUGGAUUGAGGACUGUAACUCGUCCUCAUGAAAAUGGAUUCCGUAGUAAUCGUGUGUCAACAUCGCACGGUGAAUAUGCCUCUGCUCUUUGCACACACCGCCCGU
rnacentral:rRNA from 1 species